rnacentral:rRNA from 1 species
AAACCUGAGAAACCCGAAAGUUCGAAUGAAAAGAUUCAAUAUUCUUCAAUUGGUUGUACAUUUACUUAUGUGAUUUUGUGAUAGUUUUGUUAAUUCUUUUACCCUCACGGGUGGGAAUAUACAUAUUCUACACCACUUUGUUUAUGAACUAAAUACAACUAUGAAGGUAUGCACUUCUUUUCUAGUAGGACGUUGCGACCCAUUGAAUGUUAAUCUAAGGAUACUUGUUCAAGCCUAUUCUCAUUUUACUUAACUGUAUAUUUGAGACUACAGGUAGAGUAUCCUGAAUAACUGUUCGAUGGUAUUUAUAAAACCAUAAUAUUGGAUCGCCAUUCGUGGCAUUUGGUAUUCGUUCAAGUAUGUAAGGUAAUUUGAAUGUCCCAGGCACAUGUACUGGCUUUGAAUCCUAACUACUGUUAGAAUGAAAUUUACUAUCAAAUAGUAUCCUUUUAUUGGUCAGCAACGCUGUUGCUUUGGGUACUUUCAUGAC